GGGAGCCGAAGCCGAGGGGGACGGACGCGCCAGCCACUCUCUGGGGGACCCAGUUCAUCGCCUUUUGCCUCGGACAUUACUUUUAGCCUGAGUACCUAACCCUGGAGAGAGGCCACCUCCACCCUGGGGCCAGGAGGGGAGAAGCGAGCCAGGGACGAGAGUGCCGAAGUCGGAAGCCCAGAUGGCCAGUGAGGCCUUCCUGGAUCUGCAGAGGUGUGGAACCAGUGUUUACAUGCCUGGGGUGCUGCUCCCUAACAGGAGGAUGCCUUGGAUCCCUUCACUUCACACAGAGAGACCCACUUCUCACCUGUCCAGACCCCAGGAAGCCCAGGAGCAAAAAUGACCAAGUUUGGCAUGGUGAGUCCUAACCUCCGCCACUGGUCUUUGCACCCUCCUGGUGGAGCUGAGUCCUGCAUGUGGCAUGAUAGUGGGCCCAUCACACAUGUGUAGAGAAUGAAGACAGCCACAGUGACAUGCUGAGCAUUUAUUAUGCAUCAACAGCCUUCAGCCGCUGAUGGUCUGUAUUGCGAGAGUCAACUUGAUGGGAAUCAGAAUCAAGCCUCUGGGUGGGGCCAUCAGGAAGUUUGAAGAUUCUGCUUCCUGGAGGGGAAGCUCUACCCUGAGUGUUGGCGGUUCCAUCUCGUCACGUUCGUGGGUCCUGGACUGAAUCAAGAGGAGAAGGCUCUCUGAGCAUUCCUCUCUCCGCUUUCCCACCGUGGACACCACGUGACCAGCUGCCUUCUCCUGCUGCCUCGCCUCCCGGCCAUACUGGACUGUACCCCCUCAGACCGUGAGCCAGAUCCAACCAUUCCUUCCUUAGGCUGCUUCUGCCAAGUGUUUCGUCAGAGCAGUGAGACAAGGGCGAACACACCGCCGACACACACGUGCAGAGUGUGCAGGACUUUUACCGGGGACACACUCCCAGCCUGUCUGAACUCUUCGUUCGCACCUUCUCCAGCCGCUUUUCUGGAAAACCACUUCUGUUCUUCUAGAGUCUCUUUUCGGUCGAUAAAAUAAAAUUCGGAUUCUGUCA